CCUACGGGCGGCAGCAGUGGGGAAUAUUGCACAAUGGGGGAAACCCUGAUGCAGCGACGCCGCGUGAGUGAAGAAGUCAUUCGUUACUUAAAGCUCUAUCAGCCGGGAAGAAAUACUGACAUUACGGUCAGCAGACGGUACCUGAGUAAGAAGCCCCGGCUAACGACGGGCCAGCAGCCGCGGUAAUACGUAGGGGGCAAGCGUUGUCCGGAGUUACGGGGGGUAAAGGGAGGGUAGACGGUAAGGCAAGUCUGGAGGGAAAGGCGGGGGCCGACCCCCCGGAGUGCUCUGGAAACUGUGUAGCUGGAGUGCAGGAGAGGCAGGAGGAAUUCCUGGUGUAGCGGUGAAAUGCGUAGAUAUUAGGAGGAACACCAGUGGCGAAGGCGGCCUGCGGGACUGUAACUGACGUUGAGGCUCGAAAGCGUGGGGAGCAAACAGGAUUAGAUACCCGGGUAGUC
rnacentral:rRNA from 1 species